rnacentral:lncRNA from 1 species
CCUCCUAAAAUUCAUGUCACGUCGAAUAUUCGGAUGUUAAUUAGGAGGACUAAACAUGAGCUAAUUAUAAAACUAAUUACACAGAUGGAGGUUAAUUCACGAUACGAAUCUAUUAAACCUAAUUAAUCCAUCAUUAGCACAUGUUUACUGUAGCAUCAUAUUGUCAAAACAUGGACUAAUUAGGCUUAAUAGAUUCGUCUCGCAAAUUAGUCUCCAUCUGUACAAUUGGUUUUAUAAUUAGUCUAUGUUUAAUACUCCUAAUUAGUAUUUAAACAUUCGAUGUGACAGGAAUUUUAGGAGGUGC